rnacentral:misc_RNA from 1 species
UCUCCGUAGGUGAACCUGCGGAGGGAUCAUUACCGAGUGAGGGUUUCGGCCCGACCUCCAACCCUUUGUGAAUCAAACCUGUUGCUUCGGGGGCGACCCUGCCGUUCGCGGCGCGGCGCCCCCGGAGGCCAUUAAACACUGCAUCAUUGCGUCGGAGUUAAAGUAAAUUAAACAAAACUUUCAACAACGGAUCUCUUGGUUCCAGCAUCGAUGAAGAACGCAGC